rnacentral:ncRNA from 2 species
UUCUUAUCAAGAGAGGCGGAGGGACUGGCCCAGUGAAGCCCGGCAACCCCAAUGACCCUAUUCGAGGGAAGGAAGGUGCCAAUUCCAGCAGGAUACACAUAUCCUGAGAGAUAAGGA